GGUCAGGAUGAACGCUAGCUACAAGGCUUAACACAUGCAAGUCGAGGGGCAGCAUGAUCGAAGCUGCUUGAUGAUGGCGACCGGCGCACGGGUGAGUAACGCGUAUCCAACCUUCCCUAUAGUAGAGGAUAGCCCGGCGAAAGUCGGAUUAAUACUCUAUGUUUUCCAAUGCAGACAUCUAAGUUGGAACAAAGGUUUACCGCUAUAGGAUGGGGAUGCGUCUGAUUAGGUAGUCGGCGGGGUAACGGCCCACCGAGCCUACGAUCAGUAGGGGUUCUGAGAGGAAGGUCCCCCACAUUGGAACUGAGACACGGUCCAAACUCCUACGGGAGGCAGCAGUGAGGAAUAUUGGUCAAUGGGCGAGAGCCUGAACCAGCCAAAGUAGCGUGCAGGAUGACGGCCCUAUGGGUUGUAAACUGUCUUUUAGUACGGGGAUAAAGUGAGGGACGUGUCCCUUUUUGUAGGUACCGUAUGAAUAAGGACCGGCUAAUUCCGUGCCAGCAGCCGC
rnacentral:rRNA from 1 species